rnacentral:rRNA from 1 species
AUUGAACGCUGGCGGAAUGCUUUACACAUGCAAGUCGAACGGUAGAGGGGGCAACCCCCUUGAGAGUGGCGAACGGGUGAGUAAUAUAUCGGAACGUGCCCAGUCGUGGGGAUAACGUAGCGAAAGUUACGCUAAUACCGCAUACGAUCUACGGAUGAAAGCGGGGGACUCGCAAGAGCCUCGCGCGAUUGGAGCGGCCGAUAUCAGAUUAGGUAGUUGGUGGGGUAAAGGCUCACCAAGCCAACGAUCUGUAGCUGGUCUGAGAGGACGACCAGCCACACUGGAACUGAGACACGGUCCAGACUCCUACGGGAGGCAGCAGUGGGGAAUUUUGGACAAUGGACGCAAGUCUGAUCCAGCCAUUCCGCGUGCAGGAUGAAGGCCCUCGGGUUGUAAAGCUCUUUUACCCGAGAUGAUAAUGACAGUAUCGGGAGAAUAAGCUCCGGCUAACUCCGUGCCAGCAGCCGCGGUAA